GCGUGAGUGAAGAAGGCCUUCGGGUUGUAAAGCUCUUUUGGCGGGGACGAUGAUGACGGUACCCGCAGAAUAAGCCCCGGCUAACUUCGUGCCAGCAGCCGCGGUAAGACGAAGGGGGCUAGCGUUGUUCGGAAUUACUGGGCGUAAAGGGCGCGUAGGCGGUUUGUUAAGUCAGGCGUGAAAGCCCUGGGCUCAACCUGGGAUGUGCGUUUGAUACUGGCAAGCUUGAGUGCAGGAGAGGAUGGUGGAAUUCCCAGUGUAGAGGUGAAAUUCGU
rnacentral:rRNA from 1 species